UAAUUAGUUUUAAAACCAAAUCCAGUACCUUCAAAUUUGAUUAAAAAUCUACUUGCUUGAAAUAUUGUUAUAGCUUAGAGACAUUCGAAGUGAUCCUGUCUCUAAUUAUCUACGCUUUGCUAGAGCUUCUUUCUUCUAGGCCAGAAGAGGAGCCGAGUUUUUGAAGACACUGUAGUUUAAUUCGUGGCUGUAAAUUGUUGCCUUGGUUCAAGGCUGAUCCAAAAUUUGAUUUGAAUAUUAAUUAAGAUAAUGUGGAAGACAAGUGUUCCGACUAUGGACGGGUGAAGCGUAUAUAUGUUGACAAGUGCUAGGAUGAACAUCUGUUUGAUGUGGAAAUUACCAUAACAUGGGGUUUACAAGUAGCAUGAAUAAAACACUUGAAGAAUCAUACCACAUCAGAACCGGCCACCAGUUACAAAUUUUCUCCUCAUCACAACAGCAGUAAUGUGGCCACCAACCCAUGGAUGCAAAUUUGCAGCACUUUUAAGUUUAAAACAGUGAGUAUGUGGACUUGAAGAAAACAGUCUUGAAAUAGUUAUUAGUUUAUGUGUAAAUUCGUUUUCCUUUGUAACUUUUGUAGAUAGGUUUUGAUUAGAAGUUAAUGUUUAUAAUUAGUAUUACUAUUUAAA